rnacentral:lncRNA from 1 species
UCUGGGCACCUGGACUGGUAAGUUCGCCCAGGGCCUGUGUGGUUCAGUUUUGUUAAGCCAAACCCAGCGCAUCCGCAGCGCCCAACUAAGACUUUUCAGGUCUAAAAUUCCCAAGCCCCCUAGCUCAGGUGAACGGCACGCCUUGCCCCAAGCCACGAGACAAUGUCCCCCUUUUGCUUCUUUUCUUCCCCUCCAAAGGAAUCAACGGCUGAAUUUAUCCAUAGCUUUAAUGGCCCAGGGAGGGAAGUCAAUGGCCAUUACAAGAUAUACGAACAUAGCAGUGAGCACAAAUUGUACCUGCACUCUCCUUCCUGCCCUUGUCAUGAGGUCUGCUUUCCAACCUGGCAGCUGAUCUGAGCACUAUCCCACACUACACCACGGUUGGCUUAUGGUAACUUGCGAUCAGUUGGUAAAAGCGCUUGCAGCAACUUGCGAUCAGUUGCUAUAGACUUUUAGCAACCGACGCGGUCCAUCGCUGUAAGUGGGGUUGCUAAAGACUUUAGCAACCGACCACCUCUUUAGCAACCGACCCUCCAUAGUUGUUCUAUAUCUUUACCAACUGAUUGUACAACCCUUUAGCAACCAACAGUAAGUUAUAACGCCUAAUAUAAUCUGAAUAAAUGGCAUACUAAUAACAAUGUUAAUUCAGAGCUAUGUUGUCACGGAAGAUUCAAAAUGUCAACUGAGUAAACAAGCAAGAAAUCAUCACAAAUAACUUGUAUCAAAUUAAUGACUUCAUUAAGCAAUCCUUCACAUGCUCAUAAGUUACCAUCAUCUUUCCAGAUCAUCCAACUAAUUAACAAUGUUUGCAUGUUUACAAAAUCGUUCACAAAAUACUUCCAUGUUAUUUACUUGAAACGGUCCUAUACAAAGUAGCUUCUAUCAUCCAAUCCUCCAGCACACACUUAACCACUUUCUUCAGCCUCUAUCCCUCCCUGGACAGUAAGAGUAUACAAUGAGUCAGUUAUCAAGCUCUCUAAACUGCCAGCGCUUAAGGACAUCUUUAUUGCAGUAUACAUGAACAUGUAUCUACAUCAAGUUUGUAACCUUCAGGUAUUAACAUUAUGAACAAUUAUUUAAUAAUGGUUACACAUAUGAAUCAAAAUAUAAACAAGCUUGUAUGCAUCGAAAUAACCUUCAGCUGUUAAUAUUACGAACAAUCUUCCUCACAAUUCAACAGAACUUUAGCCUUUUCAAUUUUUCAGACAGAUUGCAAGUAAUUUGAUCUUUCCAGAGAGCAUGUAUGCAUCAAAGUAACUAAAGAUUAAAUAUAAAAUACCAAACAUGACAAAUGCAUAGGUUAUCCGGAAAUGUCGAAACAAACAAAUGAAUUAGUAUGUCAUCUAACUCAGUUAUGUUCUUAUAAUCUUAAUCUGGGGAAAACUUAAAGUUUUAGUUUAACUUAUACCUGCAGUAGCAAAGGAAGGAACAAAUGAAGGGAUACAGAGGAAGUAUCAUAAGAUUGCUUCACAGUGAAGUCUUCUUCUAUGUUUCUUUUGACCAUUUACCCUACCAAUAAAAAAUGUCUUAAGGUAUAAUUCUAAUCAUUAGGUAAUAUUUUAAGAAAUUAUGAAAGACCAAUAAAGAAUGUCUUAAGGUAUAACUCUAAUCAUCGUUGUCAAAGAUGUCGAUCGACAGGAGCCUCUGUGAUGCAAAUAUAAGGCAAUCCAUAAGAAAAUUAAAGGUUAAAAUGAUGCAGAGACCAAUCUAUAUAGAAAAUCAGAUUGCUCCAUAAUCACUUAGAUCUUCAUAAUGAUUUAUGCAUGAAUCACUAUUUCUGUGCACAUGCAGGGAAAAACCAUGCAUCAGCCUAGGUUCCCGGCGUCCUCCGAUCCGGUUGGGGGCGGGCGGCGGCCGGGGGCCGAGCGGGGGGCGGCGGCGGCGGCCGGGGGUGGGGCGGGGGCCGGCGGCCGGGGGCGGGGCGGGGGCCGGCGGCGGCGGCCGGGGUGGGGCGGGGGCCGGCGGCCGGGGGUGGGGCGGGGGGCGGAGGGCGGGCGGGCGGCGGCGGCGGCCCGGGGCGGGGGGCGGGCGGGGGGCAGGCGGCGGCGGCCGGGGGUGGGGCGGGGGGCGAGCGGUCGGGUGAGGUGGGGGUGGGAUUGCUAGGGUUAGGGUUAGGGUUAGUCUGGUAUAUAUAGGGGUAAGAUUAGUGGGUUUUAAUGCGCUUUUUAUGUUCUUUAGCGGACCUUUGAUACAUGGGCCAUGCCAGGCCGGCCUGUGGGCUUGAAGUGAGGUCCAAGCACGCCCCACAAAUAGGUCACUCUGUCUGUCUAAAUCUUUUAGCUACCGACUGCCGGUCUGGAUAUAUAAUAUUUACCAACCGAUCGUAUGUUGAUAUAAUUGUAUAGUUUUAGCAACUAAUCGCCUGAUACUAAAACUGCUUUUAGCAACCAACUUUCCGUCGUAACGUUUUAACAACCAACAGCCAGUAGUUAGUAUCAGUUGCUAAAUGUCAUCCGUGGUAUAGUGCCAGUGUCUUCUGAAGACUGUUCCAAAGUUAACAGAAGUUUAUGAUGUGAUGUCUAUUUUGAGCUUAUAAGCUGCUUAUAACUAUCUGCAGCCAUGUUAAAACGAUCAGGAAAAGUGAUAGUUCUUCAAGUUCAGGAUAGAGAUGUGCAGUCGUCCUUGGAUGCCAUGAAUUUCCGAGUCCUAGCUAGUCUCGUACUCUCGUCGAAACACUUGGCCACGCAGCGUGUGCGAACUCGCUGGACCUAGUCUGUCAAAGGGGCCACGGCCAAAGUCAUGUGUCUGGCCAGUGAGCCAGGGACCAGGUCGCCGUCAUGGUCUCAGCUGAGCGCCACUUCCGCAGCUUCGCUAGACGCCCUCUUUUCCACUUGGACUCAGCAUGCUCGUCCAGUACCACGUCUCUGCCCUUCACUGCUGCAUCUCCAAUUCUCCAUGCGAGGGCGCUGUCGUCAACCGCAAGCCUGCAGCUGCAGCUCUGCAAGCGUGCAAGCUCAGGAACUUUCAUAACCUCGACUGCACGGCGAAACGAUCCAGGUAUGUUGCUGUCAUGACCUUGCCUGAAGCUGCAGCGUCUGCAGGCACAUAUUCUCAAGAGCUUCGUCAGCGUGAUUGCGCGACAACAAGAAGAUCUGGGGGAGUUGGGGAAGCAUCCAACGCCAGUGUUGGAGCGGAAUCUUUCGGACAUCGGCCACGGUCUCCUUACGCAAGCCAGCCAUUUGGCGGUAGCUUAUUCGGGAGCUCACGGCAGAGGGCAGACGACAUCUUUGUCUUACCUGUUCAACGUCACCCUUUUUUAUUUUUCUGGAACACGGUUGCUGACGCUGGUCGAUAAGGCCGGUUCAGGCAUUCCAACGGGGAGCUCCUUUUGUCCCCCUCCCCAGGUUCAGAUUUUCAGUGUACUGCGCGUGCGCUGGAAAGCACCUAGACUGAAUCAACAGGCUACGACUGCGCGUGGCAUUUACAAGUGGCCACAGUUCACAUUUCGCAUUGUUUAUGUUCUUCAGUCGACAUACCUUGUUCUGGUAUUUAUCGGUGGAUGUCACCUAUGCAGGUUCAGGUAACGGAUUCAGAAUCCUCAACUGACAAGGGCGAAGGAUACAGCAGCUGGCCAAGAUGACCGCCGGUUUCCAGCUCGGUGUGAUUGAGUCGCUCGCGCUCUCCGUUGCAUCGUCGGUUGCCAUUGUCAUCUGCAACAAAGCGCUCAUCAGCACCCUAGGGUUUCCAUUUGGUAAGGACCCAAGCCCUGCAGUCCACAAGCAUGGAUGGUACCUGAUGAACAUCAGGGCACAAAUCAUGGGCUUUCAGGCUGCUUUCAGCCUAUUCCUGAACUACUAUGCACAUUGAAUCAUGCAGAGUUACAUGUCUUAAGUUCAAUACUUACCGGCAAGUCAUAUGUAUAUGUGAUCAAUGCAGCUACAACAUUGACAAGCUGGCAUCUCAUGGUGACCUUCUGCACCCUUCACGUUGCGCAGCGCUUGCGCUUUUUCGAGGCAAAGGCAAUUGAUGGACAGACGGUGGUUUUGUUCGGGUUGCUGAAUGGAACCUCAAUUGGCCUUCUCAAUCUUAGUUUAGGAUUCAAUUCCAUCGGAUUCUACCAGGUCAGUCUACUUUUCACUCGGUACUGUUUGUAUUGAAAAUGAAGGCAGCACAUGCUCAAAUUCAGUAUGUUCUGCAGAUGACAAAGCUGGCCAUAAUACCCUUCACAGUGCUGUUGGAGACUAUAUUCCUGAAGAAAAGAUUUAGGUUAGAAAAAUCAUAAGUAGUACUGCUUGUCAGCUAGAUGUUCUGAUUAUAUUUCAUUCAGAUUGAGGCCAACACAGUGAUGAAAUAUAGAUACCCUGCAGUACAAUGGUGUACAGCCAAGAUUUCUGUUUGCUCAUUUCCUUCCUUUGUGAUGACUAUUUUGUCAAGAACAGUUCUCCAUCAAAUAAAAUGAGAUAGAAAAUCUCAGGCCAAAUAAUUAGAUGAAUUGGAAGUAUGCUUGGCUUUGUUUAUUUUCUACUGGACAGAACCAUUUCUUUUUAGGAAACUAGGCCCUUCCUUCAUUUCAUCACUAUGCUGAUAAUGGUAUAUCUAACAAUAUGCAGUGAGACUAUCAAGUUCUCCCUACUGAUCUUGCUACUUGGAGUUGGCAUUGCUUCAGUCACCGACCUCAAGCUAAAUUUUCUUGGGUCUAUCCUUUCCGGCCUCGCCAUCGCCACGACUUGUGUUGGCCAAAUUGUAUCCUACUUUUCUGUUCUUCAUUCAGGGUGCAUAGCUGACAUUUCUGGAUGUCUGUCAUCAUGCCUUACAUUAAUUCUCAACGUCUUCUACUAUUGGUAUGGUUUAUCCUUAACCUGCUGGAUGAAGCUCACAAACACAAUACAGAGGAAGCUGAAGGUCUCCUCGACGCAGCUCCUGUACCAGUCUGCGCCUUACCAAUCAGCCAUCCUGUUCACCACCGGCCCCUUCGUGGAUCAGCUCCUCACCAGCCGCAGCGUCUUCGCCCACAAAUACACCUUCCCGGUCGUGGUAAGCUCCAUCAUACAAUCCUGUGCAACGGCCGCAGUACAGACAUGCAUCUGCCGAUCUCUGAAAGAAAAAUCCACUCCAACUGUGCGUCGUCGCAGGGCUUCAUCGUGCUUUCGUGCCUGAUCGCGGUGUCGGUGAACUUCAGCACGUUCCUGGUGAUCGGGACGACGUCGCCGGUGACGUACCAGGUGCUGGGGCACCUCAAGACGUGCCUGGUGCUGUCGUUCGGGUACACGCUGCUGCGCGACCCCUUCACCGCACGCAACAUCCUGGGCAUCCUCGUCGCCAUCUUCGGGAUGGCGCUCUACUCCUACUUCUCGGUGCGCGAGGGCAGGAAGAAGGCCGCGGGCGACGCCCUCCCGGUGUCACAGGUACGCAACGCACGCACGACGAUCUCGUCAGGAAUCUCGAACUGCUCGAUCGAUCGAGUUAUUCCUGAGUUUAUGCGAUGCGUCUGAUCUGAUGAUGCUCCUCCUGCCUGCAGAUGCCGGACAAGGAGACGGAGCCGCUGCUGGCGUCGGCGGCCAAGGACGGCGGCGACGCCAAGAAGGCCAACGGCGUAGCUCACGACUGCUAGACGUGCCUUUCUCUCGUUUGUUAUAGCUUAGCCCAGUUCUAGUGUCGCUACGCACACUGUUCUGAAUCCGAGGUCAGGGAAGCAAAAAUUCCUUUCGUUUAUUUCUAUGACAGAAAGUGGGGCGCUCUGUACUCGUGCACAAUUUGAUGCCGCGGUUCUGAAAAUCGACGGUUCAUCUCUUCAGGCCGCACCGCUCAUCAGCAGAAUGGCUUUGGCUAUGCCUCUUCUGCGAGGAAUUUCGCUGCGCUUAGUCGCUUCUCAGGGAGGCGGCCGCACGAGGAACGCCGGCGCCAGCAAAAAUCACAAGAACUGAUACUUGGGCCGGCUGAGACUUGCCGCCCGCCGUGCAAGCAAGCGCGACCGCGCGCGCGCAGGCCGGCUGCGCAGGUUUGGCAGUCCAGGCCCAGCCCGAACAGUGCGGACGUGAAAGUGGCCGUCCCUGCAUGCUACACGCGGAACGCGAUUACCUCGGCCCAGACACAGGGUCUUUUCUCUCUCUUUUUCUUUGAGCCGUGUACAUAAUGUCACAGGAAGAAAAGAGCCCUGCUACGUGUCUCCUUCCUCCAAUCUAAAUAAAAUUGUUUCCUAUGCUCUUCCCUUUUUAUUUUUUGAAUUCUAAUCCUUUUAUUUUGUCCAUAAGGCCCGUUUGGAUCCUUGGAAUUGAAUUCCAUUCUAACAAUCAUAAUUUAGACAUAAAUUAAUUAAGCUAAUAUAGUUGUAUGUGGAAUAUAUUUGUAUAUUAUUAUUGGCCAUAUGGGAGAGAUACUUACGUACUGCACUUCUGCUAUAGAGCUAUAGAGAAGCGAGUCAAAAAGUGUGCUAUAAGUUGUACAUUACAAACAUAACAUGAGGAUCUGUAGAAUUAAUUUCCAUCUCCCACCCCUAUGAAUUUAAAAUAAUCUUAUAUAUAUACUUUGUAAAGUUGUGGAAUACCAUAUUCUAAGACAAAUAGCCUACUCUAUUAGGUAGAUUCCAAUGUCUCAAAAUGAAGAGAUCCAAACGGGGCUUAAGAGAAAAGAAAUCAUAAUCUCUAUCUUGCUUGUUACACAUCUUCAACCUUUUUACAACCUCUCCUCGAAAAUUUAGGUAGUUUAGCUUCUCUAACUUCGAUCAAUUCUAUAGAAAAACGUACUUAUAUCUUUAUGUUUGCAUUGAUAUAUUUACACUUAAUUUGAGACAAAACUAAACCCAACUACAUUUUUAGAAUGGAGGGGUAUUUCAUAACGCUUUUGGCGGAAAUGGUGGGAUUAAGGCCCAGAAACAAUCCAAAUAUCUCAUGCGCGAUAAUAAAAGAAUUUCGAGAACAAAAACUCAACCACCCAUGCCGCUACACAUAGCACGAUGGCGUUGCGUGCGGCGGCCGACCGAUACAGAACAUAGACAACCAGUCGCACGCUUCAUGGCACAGGGACAGCUUAGCACAGACGCAGCUGCACGCUCAAGAUCCCAAUGGAAGAUCACAUGGCGUCUGAUGUCACCGCCAUCGAUCAUGGCUGCUGCUGGUAGCACUACUCGUUUUUGCUUAACUCGCAGGUUUGACUUGUGCCCAAGCGCGCGCACCCGGCACCAACAUGUGCAUCAAUCCUCCCCCCAGCUUCGUUUCAACGACCUGCUGUCCCUGCGUGGGGAGGUCCGGUCAGCCACGCACGCACACUGGGGCGCUCGCAUGGCUCCCAUAUGGAUCGCCGCCGGCCGGGUUGCGCGCGCGGAUCCCGCGGCCGGGCCGGGCUGGCAGGCGGUGGAAGGCGCGCGGAGGCACGGCACGGGCAUGUGGGCGCAGCCGGCGAGCCGGCGCGGGGCGCUCCCUCGUGCCGGUCACGUGGGGCAGGCGGAAUACACGUUUCCAUGCUCUGGCCCCCGGAAUCUUUGUUCCGAGGCCGACAUGAUCCACCGCAACCCCGCUCCGGCGAUCGUCCCACGGGAGAGUUGUUAAUGGCGGGCGCGUCCACGCCGCUCCGGUCUCGGCUGUAUAAAAAAAAAUCCGAUCGGCUCCGUCUCGUCAUCCAUGUCUAUCCCCUCGCUCGUCGUUGGAUCGCGCUCUCUCACCCUGCGACUAGCUGCGUGUUCCAGCUGCAGGUUCUUGGUAUCUGCAAGUCAAACCUGGUUCUGGUGUCGUUGGGGGUGAGAGGCGAGGAGGGCCGCCGCGCCGGGCGAGGGCGCAGCGAGAAGCGGUUCCCGGCGUCGUUCGCGCUGCUCCGUCCUGAGGCGCGGCUGAUCCCGAUGCGGCGGUCUUCGCUCCGCGGUUCAUGCGCAUGCCACUCCUAGGCUUAGCGCAGGGGUAGUAACUUGCAGUGUCACUUGCUCACUUGGAGUAGAAAAAUGAGGUAAACCGUUGUAGCCUCUGCUGCCGCUCAGCGCUGUUUCUACGAUCCUGUAGCUUGCUUCUUCUGUAGGUGGUGGACAGGGCCAGCUUAUCCGCAUCCCGUGCGCAUGGGUUGACUACACCAUGCAUCCACCUCAUGUCCUCAUUUUAUUUAUCCCCUUCUGUCCCCGUAGGGAACGCACUGACGCCGUGACGCACUGACCCCUUCUGUCCCCACAGGGAACAACUGUUUUAUCCGGCUUUCCGCCGGCCGGCGUGGUGGAUGUGAAUGAGGCCGGAGGACGGUGCCGACGCGCGCUGCGGGCUGCGGCACUGACCCAGCGCCCAAUGCGUGUAGGCGCAAGGCAACAAUCUCGAUGGGGCAAAGAGACCAGGCCGGCAAGUAGGGCCAUCGGCCAGAGGGGGCCAAAGCCAAGGCUCCGGCGACAGAACUGGGAUGCACCCAGCACACUGCCCUCUGUCCCAUUGUCCUGCGAGCGCGCGCCCAGCUCCCCCACCCCCCAGGGUGCACGCACUGGCUGUGGCUGGCAAAACAAAAACGCCUGCAACCUCGCCUGUCCGAAUCUACGACAUCAAUCUGGCAGAUGCUCUGUGUCUCAAAAAAGACGCCUUUUUUUUUCAGCGCCUGGUGAGCGGCAUAGCGCAAUGAAAGGAUAGAAAGGCUCGAAAGGGAGCAAGACGACGGCGGUCUGGCUGGAGAGCGAGGUGCCAACUAACGGACAGCGGAAUUUGGUCUCCGAUUCUUUUACGUUUUCCCUUUUCUAUUUUCCGCUCACAUCACAUGAGGCAGUUGGAUUAUUUUAAGGCCCCCCGGUGGUUUAUUAAGACACGGGCGACCGGUGUCCCUGCAAUCCUGCUGCGGUGCUCAAGUUACGUCACGUUCACACGGGGGAGGAACACUGUUGGGCGCCGGUCGUUGCGUGCGUCCCUUGGCUGCUGGAGCUACAGUUGAGCUGGUAGCCUGCUAGAAGAGCAGGAGAUAUGACGCAGACGUGUCGGGUCGUGUCGUGUCGUGUCGUGGCCGUGUCAUAUCUUGUAGCAAGAUAGUAAACAAUCUGUCCCAAAAAAAAAGAGAGAGGCAAAAAUGGGCAACGGAUCCGACUCUGUCACGGGCCAAGAUCACCGGCGCGCGCGUUCAAUUUCGCGACCCGAUCGACCUGUCACCGCGAACGAUCCCGACGCGCUACGCUACGAUCCGAACAGGCCAGGGAGGCUUCUGCCCCGAGCGCGGGUCCCGGCGGCGGCGGAAGGCGACGCCGGCUGCCCGCGCCACGCAUCGCCGGCGACAAAAGGAAAAUGGGCGCACGCCUGGCUUGGUGGCUUUGGCCUGACCCGACCCGGGCCCCCGCGCACGUCAGCGGCGUCCACGCCGUGCCCGCCCGCCUUGUCCGGUUGCCGUUACGGGAUCCGCCACGCGCGACGGGGGCGCACGAGGAGCCGGGCGGAACGGGAAACGGGUUGACUCGCCACAUGCCCGCGCUUGGGGGAUUUCUAGGGGAUCGAAUAAACAUCUCGCAAGAUAAAUAAAGAAAAUAAAGCAGAUCUCGGAAAGCAUGUGUCGCGCGUCACGUGGACGACACGGCGAGUCUGAAACCUUGGAAACCUUCUGAGAUGGUUUGCAUGUUGCCUACAGCAAAGUCAAUGCAUUCUACCUUUCCAUGAGCUCUAGUUUGCUGGGCUGCUGCGUGUUGUCCGAGUGUUCAUCUGGCGACAUGAAUUCCGGGUGAGGUCGUCAGCUUGCCGUCGGAAUUUUCUUGUAGCUAGCAGCCACCCCCCACCCGGUUUUGCCUCUUGUUAAACUGUCACCACAUCAUCGUCGACCAGGCACCACCACUCUGUCCCUGUGUCGUCGCGUGCUUGUGCUUGCCACAAGGGAAAUGACGCAAGGACACCCAUCUAAACAAAUGUACAUGGCCUUAAACAACCGCUCCAUUUGGAUGCAGCAGACGUACGUGGUUAUGGUUAGUCUUAAACAAGUAUUCUAGGUUGCAAACGGAGUGUCGCUGCGCUUAACAAUUUCCGGCCGCAAAGCAAACGACGUUUCAAGCAACGUGAAAGCAAGCCGUGCCUCGGGAAUUAAACGAGUUUCAAGUACGGUUGCCGGUCAACAACUCCGUGCCCAGCAGCGAAGCCAAGUUAUCCCAAGAAAACCUUGAAGCAAAACACACCAAGUUACUCCAAAAAAAAAAACUAGCACUCCCCAAUGUCCCCAUCACAACUCUUGUUGGAAGAUUUAUGUGUCUUGGAUAUGUCUGUACUGCAACUUGUUAACACACGUCUCUGGUUUAGUUGAUGAGUCAUCCUAAUUAAAAUCGACGCUGACGUAUUAAUCAAACUCCGCAAGUGGGACCUCCUGCAGCCUCCAUGCACACGGCCGGAGACAAUUUGAAAUGACGUUCGAACCAUUCUUCAGGGAUGGCUAGGUCAAGAAUGACACCACAGAAUAAAAAGAAACUGGAUGGCGUAUGAAUAAUGUUGGACUUUUUGAGAACCAUAUUUGGACCGUUGUUUGGAUUUUGGUUCCUUAUUCUAGAGAGAAUACACUUUUUUCACUUGGUUCUCUGAUCGAUCUUACGAAUUGUUCGAAGUAAACCAUAAAACUUGGAAUACUGUAUCUUGUUUGUCAUUUCUACAGGCACCUAAAUGCUUUUUAUUUCACAUCGCAGUCACCUUUUAACUGCUACAAGAUAUGGUACUAUUGUUCCACAUCACAUUCAUCUUUUAACUCCUGCAAGAUGGUACUAUUGUUUCGCAUCGCAGUCAUCUUUUAACCCCUGCAAAUGGUGCUAUGAAAAUAACGGUAGAAUAGAUGAGGCUACACCCCCUCUUCUGCAAGCACCCAGAUGCGGAGUAACGUACAGAGUAGCCCCCUCCGGUUCCAUGGUGAAACAUGCGAGGUAUUGCUACACAUUCCUCUCCGUCUUCGUAAAGAAUUUACUGCGACCUCAGUGAUGCUGGGGUUGCAGGUUCAGAUUCUCACUUUCACCGCUAAGCUCCGACCGUACAAAUGCUUCUUUGAGAUUGCUUGCCUCGCUUCAUCUGAUCGUAGAUUCCACAUACGUGUACGGUUGCCAGCAAGUUCAACCAUCACCACUCUAUUUACGGUAACUGGUGCCCUAAUGCACGUCCCUAUAUCUAACCUCCAAAGCUGGCACGCCUUGCGACACGUAUCUUACAUUGGAAACCUUGGCGUAUUAGCGGAGCACCUCCUUUUCCUUUUGAGUGGCACGUCAUUUCUUGGUACAUAAUUCGUAUCCAGAUACCAACUUUUUUUUUUUGAGACGGAGGUUGAGACGUCAAGCAUUAUUUCCUUCUUUUUGAGUGGAUAUGAGGCAUUUGUUUUGACAUCCCGUUCCACACUCGCACGGACCAGCAGGAAACCCCACGACAGCGACCGGUGUUCCUCUCACGGUCACGGGAGCUCCUCGAUCUCCAUGCACCGAGCCCACGCGCACCGGGGCUCACGGUCCGUCCGGCCGCUGGCCCUCGCCGCUGUCCGCUGCGCGAGCCGCCGCGCGCCAUCCCGGCGGCCUGUCUCCCACUCCCCGCUCGCCCAACGGGCAGUUUAUAAGUCGGAAACGGGGUCGGUUUACUCCUGCUCGUUACCGCGAGAACAGGCGCCGGUUACACACGGCACGCACCCGCUCGUCUUCGUCUCCUCCACCUCCACCUCCGACUCCCGCGGCCUCCACUCCACCGGCCCCUCGCCGCGGCGCGCGUGCGCUCCCGAUGAUCACGUUCGCGGACCUGACGGAGCCGGCCGCCGAGCGCGGCGUGGACCGGCAGCUGUGGCUGGCCUGCGCGGGCGGGAUGUGCACCGUGCCGCCCGUGGGCGCCGGCGUCUACUACUUCCCGCAGGGCCACGCGGAGCACGCGCGGGGCCUCGCCGGGGCGGCCGACCUCUCCGCGGCGCGCGUCCCGGCGCUCGUCCCCUGCCGCGUCGCUGCCGUGCGCUACAUGGCCGACCCGGACACCGACGAGGUCUUCGCCAGGAUCCGCCUCGCCCCGCUCCGCGCCGGGGAGGCGGACGCCGGCCCCGACGACGACGCGGCCACGGACGGCGAGCGGGAGAAGCCGGCGUCGUUCGCCAAGACGCUGACGCAGUCCGACGCCAACAACGGCGGCGGGUUCUCCGUGCCGCGGUACUGCGCGGAGACCAUCUUCCCACGGCUCGACUACGCGGCCGACCCGCCCGUGCAGACCGUCGUCGCCAAGGACGUGCACGGGGUCGCCUGGAAGUUCCGCCACAUCUACCGGGGCACGCCGCGCCGGCACCUGCUCACCACGGGGUGGAGCACGUUCGUCAACCAGAAGAAGCUCGUCGCGGGGGACUCCAUCGUGUUCCUCCGCGGCGACGGCGGGGACCUCCACGUCGGCAUCCGCCGCGCCAAGCGCGGGUUCUGCGGCGCCGGCGGGGGCGGGGGCGAGGAGGCCCCGUUGCCCGGGUGGGACCACUACGCGGGCAUGGUGCGGGGCAAUGUGAGCCCGUGCGGGGCCGCCAAGGCGCAGGGCAAGGUGCGCCCGGAGGACGUGGCCGAGGCCGCGAGGCUUGCCAGCGGCGGGCAGCCGUUCGAGGUGGUGUACUACCCGCGCGCGAGCACGCCGGAGUUCUGCGUGCGCGCCGCGGCGGUCCGCGCGGCGAUGCGGGUGCAGUGGUCCCCCGGGAUGCGGUUCAAGAUGGCGUUCGAGACCGAGGACUCCUCCCGGAUCAGCUGGUUCAUGGGCACCGUCGCCGGCGUCCAGGUCGCCGACCCCAUCCGCUGGCCGCAGUCGCCGUGGCGCCUCCUUCAGGUAUGCAGCAGUUGCCACCGCUUCUCAGUUACUCCUACACAAAGCUUCGCGCUUGGUGCUCACUUGUCGAAUUGGCGACCGCGCCGCAGGUGACCUGGGACGAGCCGGACCUCCUGCAGAACGUGAAGCGGGUGAGCCCGUGGCUAGUCGAGCUCGUGUCCAGCAUUCCGGCCAUCCACCUAUCCUCCUUCUCGCCGCCGCCCAAGAGGCCCCGGAUCCGGGCGUACCCCGAGUUCCCCUUCGAGGGACAGCUCCUCAACCCAGCGUUCCCGCCCAACCCGCUGCCACACGGCCACCAUUACCUCCACACACACCCGUCCUUCUUCCCGUUCCCGGACGGCAGUGCUCCUGCAGCCAUACAGGGAGCCAGGCAUGCGCAAUUUGUUCCACCUUUAUCAGAUCUCCACCUUACCCACCUGCAGUCGAGCCUGCUGUACCCCGGGCUCCGCCGCCCCGAUCACGUCGGUCCGGCGACCCCUCUCCCGGCGAGAAUCAGCACCGACCUGACCAUCGGCGCCGUGCCGGCGCGCGACGACGUGUCGUGCGCCCUGUCAAUGGGCGCCAGCAACAACAAGAAGCCCGGCGCCGCCAAGCCGGCGGGGCUAGUGCUGUUCGGCCGGACCAUCCUGACCGAGCAGCAGAUGAGCCUCAGCGGCUCCGGCGGCGCGACCUCCCCGGCGGCGACCGGGAACAGCUGGAACGCCGAGAAGGGCCCCAACGUCUCGGAGGGCUCGGGCUCCGGCUCCGGCGUCACCCAGAACAGCCCGACCAAGAACUGCUCGUCGUCCGAGCGGCUGCCGUGGUACAGGUACGCCUCCGAGGUCGCCGGGCUGGAGCCCGGGCAAUGCAAGGUGUUCGUCGAGUCCGACACGGUCGGCCGCAACCUCGACCUCUCGGCGCUGGGCUCGUUCGAGGAGCUCCACGGCCGCCUGUCCGAGAUGUUCUGCAUCGAGAGCGCGGAGCUGCGGAGCCGCGUGCUCUACCGCGGCGCCGCCGGUGACGUGAAGCACGCCGGCGACGAGCCCUUCAGGUAAUUGACGUUCAUGUCGAUUGUCAACAACGUUUUGAGCUCGACAGCUCAUUGAUAGAACAAUGAAAAGGAUCAUCCGAGCUGAUGAGCGUUGCCCCUGCCAUGUCAGCGUCUUCGUCAAGUCGGCACGGAGGCUCACGAUACUAACCGAUGCCGGGAGCGACAACCUAGGGAGCUAAACGAGGAGCAGUGACCAAUCCAAGCCGCAAGCAUUCCGUUCUUGGUAGUACUGCUACUACUAGCAUGUACAGGUGAACCCGCGAGGUUUUGUCCAACUCCGUUCCAGCUCUGAAGAGAGAGGGACAGAUCUCCCCGUGGCAGCUCGCAAGCAAUGCCACAAUCAUUAGCCACUUCUCCCCUUCCGUUCUCCCCGUGUAUCCUUCCUCCCUGUCAAAUGUAAAACCGUGGGGGUAACCCUAGCACUCAUCCUGUCCAUUCCUUGUCUGUAGUCUGAAUCUUUGGUCAUUCCGAUGCUCCUGUUGGCUCGAUGAUCACAUGUUGGUACGCGUGCGAGCCCUGUGACCACUCACCGGCGCGUUGAAUGCCCGCUUUGGCCAGCGCAUCCGAGCGGCCUACCGGCCGGCCCAGGGAGCACAUUGAUGCCCUGCACCUGCGCCUGCGUCUGCCUCUGCGUGCUGUGUUGCUGCUGCCGGGAUGCCCACACCAUCACUGCUCUGCUCUGCUCCGCGGCCUCAAGCUCCAGGCGACUUGGUUGUUGCCUAGCCUGCCCGUGCCGUGCCUGGUGGCGAGCGAGUGCGGUCAGCCAGAAGAUCGCGGAGCACGGUGUCGCGUAUCCGGCUGCCUUUCGGGGGCAUGAAUGCUCCGAGUCCGCAGCCCAGGGUGCCUGCCCGCGCGCCCAGCCGGGGAAAUAAUUGCCGUGUCUGGUUUGCCUGGCUGAAAAAGGGUUAGGCCUUUGCCCUGACCGGCUCUGGCCGAGGCCGACGCUGGACAGCGCCCGGAUGAGCUCGCGCCUCCGCCCACAUGCGCGUCGCCGUCGGCCGGUCCCCCGCGCCCGGCCCCUGACGCCGAGCGCUGCCGUCGCCUUGCGCCGAUCCUUUUGUAUCCUUCUCGCCAUAUGGGCCUUGGACGCUUGCCCCGGCGGUCGCGGUCGCCCAUUAUUGCUCGCGCUCGCGGACGAGAGCGAGAGCGAGAGCUGCUAGGAUGUCGUCAAUGCAAGGCUGGAGACCGAGAGCGAGAGGCCGAGACCCCUCUCCUUCAGUCCUCCCGGGUUGAUUUUACUGGCGACCGCGACGCUCGGUCCCCGGCUUGUUCGCUUGCGAUCUCUGCUUCGUACGGCUGGCAACGCUUUGUCGUUCGAGUGGAGGGGGAGGGCCGGCCCGGCGCCCGCGGAAUCAUCUUUUUUUUUCCCCGGCCGCCACGGGCCGCGGUCGCGCGUCGCGCUCACGGGGCGUUUGUCCCCGUGCGCGGCUGCUGCGCUGAGAGAAUGUCCCGCCCGGGGAUGGCAGCGAGGGGGGAAGGUGCUGGUCUGCUGGAUGGGGCGGCUGGGCCUGUGCGUGCGGCCGCGGCGCCGGAGCCGCACGCUGGGGUGUCGCCGGAGGCGUCGCUGUCUCGCUGAGCUUGCGUGCCGAGCGUGUUGAGUUAGACGGAUGUGCGUGUUUACCUAGACAGCUUUUAUUAACUGUGGCGGUGUUGGUAGAAAAAGAAAUGGCAUUGGCAUGGACUGGGGCCAGGGCCUUUCUGGAUUUGGCACGGGUCGUUCGUGCGAGUAACAGUGUCGUGUCGAGUCAAAGGCCAGGCUUUGCCACUGCUGGGUUCCGCGAGCGACCCUGAGAUGCCGCGGCAAGUUGCCACGCUCGGCCAGUGGCGCCGCGGGAGCUGGCUGGGAAUUUCUCGGCGCCGUCUUCAGCCGCUCCGCAUGUUAUCGGGAUCGCCUGAACCUGCCUGUCGAAGCGUACGGGGGAGAUUAGCUUAAGAAACACGGGGCCUUUUUUUUAAGGUGCGGGGGCUGCGCUAGAUCUGAUGCGUGACCGACCAAGUCUUGUCAGCUUUAAUUCGUGUCCAAGUCUUCGCUAAACCACGCUGUCCACUUGAUCGGUCGUCUGGGGAAAUCAUCAAUGCUCUGAAAGUCUGAAACCUGCUGUUUCGCCCAGCGCUGGACGAAACGUUUCUCCAACCUUUUGCUGGAUUUUCACAGAGCGUGUGUAGUUUCUCCAAUCGGGUCAUGGGCAGCGCACUGAAUCACUGAUCCGUGCCGCCUUUCCGCAGCCUUUUCGCCUAGUUUCAGAUGCCCAUGAUUGCGGCUGCCUGUCGGCGGCCACGGCACGGCCACAAGCUCGCUCCGGAUCCCAUACUCGGGAGAGAAGGAAUGGUGGCGAGAGCAUCUGGUCUGGUGACUCGCAUGUCCCAUACUCCCAUGUUCAUGACUCGCCCUGCCCUGGCCCGUUCCAAAGGGAAAAAAAUCAUCAUACCGGCAGCAGGCGACUGACGCCACCCUCCAGGCGCAUUACGUGGGCUGCUGGCUACCGUGCCGCGAGCGAGGCCACCUAGCAAACUAAUGGUAGCUCGACAAGGACAGCACGCUUUAAACGUGGCGGCCACGCAUGUGCAUGAGAAGUUGUGUAUGGGCGGCACCGCAGCAUGGGCAUGGCGACGCCAGAGCGCCAGGGCUUCCGCGGCUGCGGCCUGCCUGCCUACCUAGCAGCCGCUGCGCCGCGGCACCACGCACAGCCGCACAGCGUCACUGUGCUGAGAUUGCGUAGCAGGUAGCUGGAGCUGGGCGCAAACAAUUCUGAAUCCAGCCGUGCUGUUCAGUCAUGCACGGCCAAGGGAGGCAGGGAGAGGGAGCCCCGCUAGCCUUGAGCAUUUGCGACCCUGCUCCCCCAGACGGACCACCCCCCUGCUUCACCCCGUCGAGCCAUCGACCUCGGGCUCCGCGGUGUGCUCUAACCGUGUACGCUUGCGAAUCCGGCGGCCACGACACGAGAGAGAUGCUCGAACUGGGUGGCGAGGAGUGGGGUGCAGGGAUGACGCGGGGCGCGGGCGCGGGAGCCGGAGCGGGAGCGGCCUGGGCCUGGCAGUGGCAAGUGGCGGCAGCGAUCAGGACAGCGCGCGGCACUGAACCUGAAACCAUGGUGGGAGCGCCGGAGCGGCGGGAAGAGUCAGCGCGGUUAAUGGGUCAGCAGACUCUUCCCGUCUACCGUCCCCGUCGCGGUGGGCGCGGCGCGGCACACUGCAACAUGCCGCCUUGCCCCCCGGGGCCCGGGGCCUGCUUGCCUUGCAGCCUGUGUGUGUGUAUGUGUGCGCUAGCGCCGCGGCGGGCUCCGCGCCACGCAUGGCAUUAUUGCAGGUGCCAUUUGUUUAUGCUCGUAGGAGAGGGUGGUGGUGCGGAGAUCAAGAACGGUGAGAAGGGAACGGAAGAGGUGCGGCUGCCAGGCCGGCCCGGCCGUCCGUGCGGGUGAUCCGGCGGUGACGCCAGCGGCGGCCGCCGCGGGUGGCCCGCCGGCAGCCCCUUGCUGACCUUGCGUGCUCGCCUUUUUGCCUUCGGGACGGCAGCUCUCUCCCCGCCCGGAUCGGACCCAGGUAGCAUGCGGUGCGAGGAGAACGAAAUGAGGUGAGGAAUCCGUUUGUAAAGCUGAAAACAAUAGGAGCCCAUUGGCCAUUUGCGCGUCUGCGCACACGAAGGCGCUACAUCUCCCUCCACGCUCAGCAACUCCCACGGGCAAACCCCUCGUCCCAGCUCCCGUCCUCCUCGAGACGGAGCACGGAUCGAACACACCAGCUCCUCUCACGUGUGCAUGCGUCGGGACCAAGAAACUCGAGCCCUACGCCACCAAAUUUCCGGCUGCUCCUCCUCCUCGCAGCUCGCACGCCAGCCGAUGCUUGCUAGAAAGAAAUCCCCUUGCUUUCAGUGCCCCGCGCAAAGCCAAAGCGGCAAAGCGCGCGGCAGCACAAUCAAUCCACGACGCGAUCCCAAUCCCGACGCCUGCCCUGUCUGCCCCACCCUUGCCGGGGUUAUAUUUUUUUCACUUAGGGUGUGUUCGUUUCCUGGGGUCUAAAGUUUAGAGGGGUCACAUCAAAGAGAAUCUUAUCAUUUAUAAGUAUUAAAUAAAGUCUAAUUAUAAAACUAAUUGCAGAACCCCAGUGCUAAUUCGCGAGACGAAUCUAAUGAGGUAUAUUAUUCCAUGAUUAGCGGAUGAUUACUGUAGCAUCACUGUUGCAAAUUAUGGAUUAAUUAGGCUCAUUAAAUUUGUCUCGCGAAUUAGCACCCAGCUGUGCAAAAAGUUUUAUAAACAGAUUUUAUUUAAUACUUUUAAAUAGCAAGAUUCUCUUUGAUGUGAUGGGUCUAAAAUUUAGAGGGCUGGAAACGAACAGGCCCUUAGUAGGUUCUUUUUUUUCUUUGAAACAAACGAGGCUAGGUUCGGCCCGUGCAAUUUUGUCACGUCUGUUUGACCCGCCGGUCGGCCGGCCAGCGAAACCCGCCGGCUCUUUCUCCCGUGCCGGCUUUCGGGGUUUUGAGUUCCCGGGGACGGCGGGGUUCCCCCCCCCCCCCCCCCCCCCUUUUGCGGUUUCGCACGGUCAAAGCUUUCACCUCGGUUUGGACGGCGUUGUGUGGCAGGGUGGAGUGGAAUGGAGAGGUCUAUUCCUGCUGGGUGCGCGCGCGCACGAGCGGCCUUGGGCAUCGGUGCUCCCUGCUUGGCGUGGGGGGUCGCGGGGAUCAGGGGAGAGGUGGUCAAUCCACGGAGGAAUCCCAGGUUUGCUGGACAUGUGUUGGUUGGUGUACCUGGCUCACCGGUGGGGCCGCGCAGCAGCGAUGAUUGACGGCUAGUACUAGGACUCCCCGCCGUGAUCUAGUGGAUUGACCAGAGCGUUCACUGUUCCCAGUCUCUCACUUGUGCCUCGGCGGUGUUCCAAGCGCAGGAGUAGAGCAAUUAUGCGCAGGGAAAAAAUUAGUCUAGUAUAGAACACAAGAAGGCGCGGCGUCAGUUAUUCGUGGGUCAUUUUUAGGAAUUCUCCGUUCAACUGGGCCGUCGAUGGGGUCACACGUGGGCUCAAGAUGGGCUGGGAAUCCGGCCUGCAGUGAGAGGCCCUAUAUGGGCUUCAUGCAGUGCUGAUUAUCCCUCUUUAUUGACUGGGCCAGCAUUUUCUUCUAGGCCGGGCCUAAAAGACAACCCAAAAAACAAAAAAACUUUCAACGAAAAUGGGACCGUCGUCGUAGGUAGGAUACUAGGAUGAUCAACACGAGCAAUCUUUCCCUAAAAAAUCAUGCGAUACGAUCCUUCUUCUGAUCAUUGAAGCCUUCGACCAGAUUAAAACCAUGCAAAAACCAAAACCAAACUUCAACAGCGAAGUGAUAGCACACGGAAGAAUCAACCAUUAAGCAGCAAAUUAAGAUUUACCCAUUGCCUUUCGAGUUUUCAACUGUAUUUACGCCUGAAUAUACCACAUCACAUGAAUCGCGUACAUAAAAAAACUUAUUGUGAGAAAGAUCCGGUGAGCACCCAUCGGUUCAGGCCGGACCGCGGAGAUCGCUGCCAUGUUAACUAGUUGUAGUAGAGCUCGAGCCCCAUGCCGUCGUGGAUCUCGUAGUCGGCGAGGGUGAUGUGGUCCUUGUAGAUGGUGUACCACUUCUGGAUCCGGAUCUUGUCGGCGCGCGUCCCCGUCUGCGCCGCCACCAGCCGCUUCAGGUCGCCGAUCGUGUCGUCCUCGUUGCACUUGACGCGCACCUUCUUCCCCAGACGGUCGUUCAGCACCACCUCGAUCAUCUUGCCCUCCCUUCCGGCAGCAGCUAGCAGCAGCAGCAGCAAACGCGACGGGGACUCGCGGCGACGGCGGCAGCGGUGGCGAGGACGAGACGUUCGCGCGUGCGUCUCGCGAUGCCGCCGGGCGAUCGAGGAGUUCUCUUAUCAGGGGCUGGAAGGUCGGUUCCGGCCUCGGCACCGCCGUGUCAAACCGCGCUCCGGUUCUGCCACGUUUUUCCUCAACUGCUACGCGGAUUAAUUCUUCCUUUUUCUCACCCAAACGUGAGCCGCACGGAUUUCUCACCGCAUCGGAAUAGAAAACUCUGCGUGCCUUAGCAAGCGAAGACCUCUGUGUUAUCAGAGCACCGUCGGCGUUGGGAGAGCACCGCCAUCUCCGCCGUCCGUCCGAGGGAACGAACCCUGCGUCCCUGCUGGCUGCUGCGUUCCUCUCCUACUGAUCUCUGACCUUCUCGGAACGGUUUGGGCCAAACAGAUACGCACGGCCCAGUUUUAAUUGUCUAACGCAUGGUGCCCGUUUGGCCCAUAGUUGAUCGUCUCAAAGUAGAACUCUGUUCCUGUACACAGUUGUAGUGCACACUUGUACACACUAAUACACAAGUUUUUUUUUUAUGUAACCACUAAUACACAAAUCUAUAGCUACAUUUUGUUUUGAACCAAGGCGAGGACAUACGAAGUUGGUUAAAGGAGAGGGACAUCUAGGGAUGCGCCGCCCCACCUAACGACGGAGGUACACUUUCAUCCGGUUUUGUUGUGCAAACAGCUUCUGUUUCGACGGGCGAGGGGGCUGCUCUUGCCGUCUCUGUAGGUGCGUACGUACGCAACCAACGCCCCGGAGCUGCAUGGCGUCCUUGGGGCUGCAUCCUGCCAAAGGGCCAAGCAAGCUUAGGGCCGAAGCACUGCAUGCAGAUAGUUCUGUAACUAUAUUUGACUCCUAGUGUCAUCCAAAGGAGUUUCCAGCUGGAUCCUCAUUACUAGUAGUGAUUAUCUUUUUGUAUAUAAAAAGAAGACGUAAUAACCUCUAGGUAAAUACAAGAUUCUCCUUUUUCUGUUCUUAAUUUAAUGUAACGUCACGCAGUUCUCUUGCGCCUUUGAGAAAAAAAGAAAAGAAAAGAUGCUUUCUUAGCUCUACAAAAAGCCACCUUCAUCACCUAAGAAACCAUAGCGUCGGAUCUAGAAGACAAAAAGCGAGGCAUCAACAGGCACAAACACGAAGCAGAAGUAGUUGUAGUUCCUCCAGCUAGUUAACCCUUGCAAUGUCGUCAAUGCCGCUGGACGAUGAGUACGAGAAGAGGCGAGCGAAGGCUUACCAGGACUACGACAUUAUUUGCAAGCAGGUAACAGUCGGCUGCUAGGUCACUGUAAAUAAAUAAGAUGUGUCUCACUCCCGAUUGAUUCAAUUAUUAAUAAUCAUUGUACAACAACUUAAAAAAAACAGCAAGGACGACUGAGCAUACUAAAGUAAGUGAAGUAAUAGAUCUGAAAAUGCCCUAGUAGGACCGAACAUUGUUGACGAUCGAGCUCGCUUGUGAUGCAUCUUCAACCUCCACCCCCGUUUCCAUGUGCCAAUGCACGAUCGCACGCAGUUCCCUGUGCUGCUGGAGAAGAUGGACGCGCUGGAUCCGCCGAAGAAGAGGACUAGGCGAUCCGCGGUAAGUGGAUCAACUCUCUGCCAUGCAUGUAUCUCUCUCCCUUUUUUCAAUCGCGUGUCUGACUGUCUGUGCAGACUGCCAGACUGCCGAACUGUUUCCGACGGCGCGAUCUGUGUUCUCACCUGUCCUGCUGCUCGCAGAAGAAGAGGAAAACUGAAGCGGAGAAGAAGCCCGACGACGACCCGCCGCCGGCCCUGACCCCGGAGAUCAGGGCGCGGUACAAGGAGCUAGCCGUGGUCAUCAAGGGCUACCUCCAGGAGCUCGGCGACGACGUCGACGGGGAGGCGGCGGCCGGAGGCAGCACAGGCCAGGCAGCUCCGCCACCGCCAACUGCAGCGGGAGACGAGCAGUAAAUCAAAAGCUACUUGCCCGUCCUACCGUGCCCUGCGCUUGCUCAAUGAGGAGGCCGCCUGUGCCCCUGCUGGCGGAUUAUCCCCGUCCAGUAACAAUAACCAGUUUCCAUGCGUGUUUCUCAGUAAUUACUCCUAGUUAAUCAUCUGGAUGUUGAAUAAUUAUAUGUUCCGGUGUGUCGCCAGCCCGAGCUGGGCUGUGUCUGCCAUUUGUACUCAUCAAGACUGGUUUGGCUUUGCGAGGAAUCGAUCGGGUACUGCUUGUUUUGUCGUUUACGCCGUUAUCUUUCUCUUUCUGGAGAUGAUGUGCGCGUGUUUUACCCGAUCGUACCGAGAGGGGGCACGAGGUCUGGUAAGUGCAGUACUUAAUAUUUUGGUUGGGUACCCCGUCCAGCUCUGAACUUCUGCAGCUGCAAGCGUGUACGUACGCGCCCUGUAGAAUUUUUCCUGCAGAUGCUCGAACGGGGAGGAAAUCCGUCGCGUUUUUUUUCUUGGUGUCCUACCCUACGGCGUCCCAUCGAUCACCGUCAGCGUUCGGAGGCCGUGACUCAGCCACGGACGCGAGAUCGAUCCGUGCUCACGGAUACAGUACACGUCGGAUGGACGCACGCGCGGGACAGGCCUGGACGAUCACGGCGGCCUUAUCCGCCGUACGGGGCGCGAUCAAUAUUGAUCACUGUGGCGCCGAGAACUCGCCACCUAAAACCUGCAGAGGUUGCAGUCCAUGGCCGUCCUUGCUUCUAGGUCGGCCUGCCUGCCUGUUGCCCCCUGACUGGUUGGAAGCCUGCAGCAACGCCUGGACUUUGAGAUGAAUUAUCUACUGCUGCAUGCUGCAUUUUUCUGAGGGGCUGCAAGAAGAUUGUACUGGAUUUUUUCUUGCGUUGAAAUGGAGGCGUGAUCCUUCCGGGUCUGCCCCUGCAGUAACGCAACCCGUCACGCAAAGAUUGCCUGUGCUAAACCUGAUACUAAUAGCUGACUGGACCAGUCGGUGCGCUGACCGGAUGGGAACACGGUCAAGGCGAUGACUGGAGGAUGACACGGCACUGCUACUACGCACGCCAGCAACAGCAAGAGUAGGGUUAGUUUCUUCGGUAAGCAAGCAAGAGCUAUUAUUGGCGAGACUUUCUGGCCCGGGGUGCCCUGCCAAUGGUAUCGUCCCAAAACAGUUGGCGCGUGCCGGGGAUGACGGUUGACGACGGGUGCUAGCCUCGGCACCACAAAGGCGUAUUCCUUCUUGUUCUUUCGGACCUUCUGAAUUUGCAGUUGGUGCAGCCGCGACGAGGCUGAGACUGAGAUCACCGAUGAUUGAUGUCACUGCAGACUGGGCUACUGCAGAGAUGAGUGAAGACAAUGCGCUUGAAGAUAAACAGAUCAGAACAGCCGCCUUAUACUACAUUAAAAUCUGCUCCGCGACAGGUCAGUUUUACUGUCGACGAGUAACGACACCGAAUUGGUCGCUUUGCAUAGCAUUGCAUGACGCUCUACCUAAUUGCAACAAUGUCAUACACGACGACGUCACCUGCUACUCUGCUAGUGUUCUGCACUCUGUUCAAACAUACAGAUGAUCCACUAGCGACGCAACGAUGAACAAUCUUACAAGUACAUCAAGUCAAAGAAUCUCUCGUCUCUCUCCCUGAUCUCCUCUCGAUGCCUAGGCUACGGGGGAGAAACACAGCUGAUCAAAUGAUCACCCCACAACAAAAAGGGUAACGAAGACGCUGUUAAAUGUUACCAAAAUCCGCAUCAACUGCACUACUCCUAGCUGCGGUAAUCAACUACCGGUCCCGAUCGAAAGCUAGAUCCUCUGUCGUCAAAGCGAAGCAGCUAGCUAGAAUGUGUAGGAGCGCAAUGGCGCCGUCCAAGUCGUCGCCACGCCAGUCACGGUCACGGUCACGGUCAGUCCUGGAACCCGGUGGUCCGCUUCCACACCGCGUCCCGCACCUUGAGCGUCCUGCCGACGACCCCGCCCCCCUCGUGCACCGACAGCGACGCGGCGCGGCGCCGCCACGCGAGCUCGUGCGGCGGGAUCACCGCGUCGGCGGCGGCGUCCUCGUCGUCGCCUUCGUCCACCUCCCAGUCCCCGGCCGCGCCCGCUUGGUGGCCCCGGUACUCGGCGCCCAGGAUCUUGGACCAGUCCGGGAUGUUCACCGGCAGGGACCCGUGCGCGGCCCGGCCCGCGCCGCCCACCAACGCCGCCGCCGGCACGGGCUUCCUGGUCGCAGCGGCCGCCUUCCGCGCCGGGAGCGGGCGGGCCCGCGGAGCCGGCGCCUCGGACGGCGCGGCGCUCGGGGCGAGCGGGCCCCAGAUGUCCGACUCGUCGAACUCCUCGCCCGCGGCGGCGGCGGCCGGGCCAGGCACCGCCACGCCGUGCGCCGGGGACGGCGCGAAGUGGAGGUACGCGCGCUCCGUGGCCGCCGACCGCGUGGUCCUCGCCAUUACCGUACUAGCACCAGCCCACCACCACGUGCUCGCGGGAGGCCGAAGGCGACGGAUCACGGCGAGAGUUGUGAAACCACGAGAGUAGAGAGAGGCCGGCGACUCCGCGGGAGGAGGGAAUUGGAGGCGGAGGAGAAGCGCGCGCGUGGAGUGGAGAGGGAGGGGGAUCAGCGCGUGCGCCGGUGGUUGGGCCGCGGAUUUAUACGCGCGGGGGCGGCGCUGGAGGGCCGAGAGCGGAAAGCGGGUGGAAACGGAUAAGGCCGUUUAUGCAAUGACCGUUUCGCCCCUGAACAGCUUGCUGGAUCACGGGAUGUCGGGGCGCUUUGUGGCACUGAGCACCGGGUCCCAGUGCCAGCGAGCAUUAUUUGUUUCGAGUGAAGCUGGGUCGGGGAAGCGAGGUGCCGCCACGUUGGUGGACGACCGGCAGCCGAUUGAGGUGGUGGACCCAUUGUGUUUUUGUUUCGGAUAGGUGGUCAGCGAGUUAAGCUGCUCGAUCGAAUGACUGGAAAGAAAGAGGUCUAGUCUUAUCCGCACCAGCUCACUCAAAAUGGGAGAGGUUCUUUCCUAAAAAAAAAAUGGCAGGAGAGUUUACAGGCAACUUGUCCUCUGACCCCAUGGCUCCACCUCAUGGCUAUUACCGGGAAAAUUCUCUCUCAAGCAACCCACCGCCCACCGUCCACGGAGGAGGCCGUGCUGCCGUGCAUGGGAUGCGAUCCGAGCAUUAUCCAUUCAUGUAAAAUAAUUAAUUACGCCACGGCCAACAGAAUUAAACACGACGACCUGCGAAACCGCGACGCGCGCCUACGUGGGCGCAGGCAUGGUUGAUCGAUUCGUUGGGGCGGACAUUCCGGACCGGAUCUAGCGCACCCAAUUAUUCGAUGCUGACAUGUAUAGGUGCGAGCCAGAGGGCGAGACGUCGCCAGGUCUUAAGGUGUUGCUCGGUCCGAUGUGAAAACCAUUUAGAGAACACUAAUAUAACCUAAGAUUAAAUAAAUCUAAUUAAUUUAUUAUUAGCAUAUAUUUAUUGUAGCAUAAUAUUAUUAAAUUAUAGACUAAUUAUGCUUAAUAGUGUCGUCUCGCGAAUUAGUCUCCAUUUAUAUAAUUAUUUUUAUAAUUAGAUUAUAUUUAAUACUUUUAAUUGGUGUCAAAUAUACUAUGCGACGUGAAUUUAUUUUAAUCCAUGCAAAAAUAAUCCUUAAAUUUGUCGGGUGGCCACUGUCGACGGUGCCUGCCAUGGCUCGGCUCCCGUGGGGGGCCCGGGUCCGACGUGUACCGGGCCGCCAGGCCGUCACACGUACUACAAGCGCCCGGAUCGUUAUCCGCCGCAUGGGGUGGGGUCCCGUCGCUUUCGGCAGCAUGCACCGGGACGCAGUGCACUGGCGGCGGCGUACGUGGCGAACCUGGAGUGGAUCCGCACCGCGAGGCCACGUGGUGGCGCCUCCGCGGCUGUAUUGUAUGCACCCGCGACAGGGAUUUGGGCGACAGCGCCCGUAUGUCGACGCGCGAAGGCAGCGGCAGGAGACGAAGAGGCCAGAGAAGACAGAGCGUCUCGUUUGCGAAAGAGGGGAGCUGGUUGGUGGCGGAGAGGUCUCGGAUGACUGGAUGAGGCCCGGCCGGGCCUGGGCUCGGCGGUCUGCACCGGUGCGUGCGUACUGUGUGGCGGUGGCUGGCGGUGCCGACGCGACGGAAUCCUGCGCCGGAGGGUGACAGGCGUUGCCGUGGCCUUGCCGUGGUGGGCGUCGGGCGCUGCCAGCCCGGCCAGCCAACAUUCUGCUGGGCUUUUUGCAGGCUAGCGACCCGCGCAACCGGCUGAGGGUUUGGGCUUGAUUUGGCGGGAAGAGUGCUCCGGACCUUCAAGCGGGCCUGCUACCGCUCGGUCCAAGUAAAUGGGCCGUCGGGUCUGCUACGAGUUAAUUUGUCAUGCGGGCCUGCUCCCGCUUGCAACCAACAAAAUUGCGAUGGCUUGUUAUGCAGCUAACCGGUCAGCCGGCCCAAAUUGUCAGACGAAUCAGUGUCAAUCUGCAUGUGUACCCACUUCUUUGGUCUCUGCUCAUUCAGGAGGAGCAAAAAAUGGAGAAAGGUCUGUUCUCUGACACCGGCUUUCCAAAAGGGCAACAUGCCUCGUCUGCUCUGACAUAUUUAAAAUGCACCGGUGACAACGACGUGCUAUCUUCCGAGGAUGCGACCUCUCCUGCCCUGCACGAUUGCUGCUCGCAUUUACUCCCCAGCCGAUGAUGGAGUAGCACGUCUUUGCUGGUAUUAAGUUUUGACUUGAGGUUAACAGAAUAACGGACAUAGUUGGUAUGCUUGCAACUGCGCAGAUGUAGAGGAUUCCAGUUUCCCUUGUACUACUGCCAAUACCUACUACGAUCUCACCACCCUUUGAAGCUAUUUUCCGUUCUCUUUUUUCUUUCACUAGAACGUUAAACACGCUUUGCGCGCCCUGUCACAAUUCUAAUAUUGGGUAUAGAAAUAUCUAUAAUAAAAUAACAACAUAUUUUGAAAGUACGCUAAUACAGCCCGCAAGAUUUUGUAUAGCCAUAGGUUACAUGUUUAUAUCUUAUAACCAUAAUUUAUAGCUACUAAACAUUUUAGCUAUACUGAUCCAAAUAGAAGGAAUAGUAAAUCUGUUUAUAGCCAGGAGCUUAACAAACACAUGUAUUCCUAAAAAAACGCAUGUAUCGGUCUAGUUUUUUUACAAUCAGCAGGCGACCAGACGCAUAAAAGGAUGAUUGAAACAGAUACAUACAAAAUGGAUGUGACCUUCAACAGAUAAUGAAACCUAAAAAAAGACCAACCACAACUGCUAUGGGCAAACUGGAUAAGACCUCCCCUUCUGGCUAUAUAUGCAUCCUCGCUUGGGCUGUAAUGCAAAAAAAAUAACUAUAUGAAUCACGUCACUUGGUUCUAUAUAAUUAGAAGAUGCAAAGAACUUGUUACUCAGAUUUUGUCCAAAAUAUUAGAAUAUGUGUGCAAACUAAUGAGUAAAGACGGUGCAAGAAAUUACGUAGUUUAGUAUAAGCAUCUGCACUGUUAUUAUUAUCAUCAUCUUUGCCAUCACCUUUGUCAGUUAAUAAUUUCUUGGCAGUUUAUUUUGCUAGAAGAUGAGCGAGAUCUAUAAGUACAUAUAUAAGUUUCUGUUUUAUUUCUAUUACACAAUCGACAAAAACUAAAAAAAUAGGAUGUUAGUGGACCUAACUUUUUCUUGUAAUAUUUUUUUUUCAUGUUUGUAGAAUCAUCAGAUGCAUUUGCAUUGAAAGCAAGAACAAUGCCUUAUGACAAAACACGCUAAAAACAAGGAAUUAAGGUCACUGCAACUCAGCUACUUGUGUGGCUAUCACAGACAGACUACCGCACCAUGCCUAAAUUAGCUGCAAGUUUUUUUUCAAGUUGACUAAAUACAUCAAGGGUUGGUGUAAUCACAUCUUUUUUACUUCUUGUGCGUAUAAGAAAAAAACUCAUUGGUAACUCAAAAUUUAUCGUACAAUAUUCAAAUGACGGGUUGGUGUUUUCUUUCAUUAAUGUGUUACCUAAUCUGCUGGUAAGGGGCAUAAGUUCGUACAAUUUUUCUAAGAAUAACAAUGAUACAUUAUAAAUAUUAAGUUGAACCAGAUACACACGGCAACGGGGUCGAUUUGCGUGGGGCAGAAGUUCAGUUAAACGGGAAUGAACUUCAAUUUGAUGGGGAAAAGUUCGAUUCAGUGGCACCUGCGGCUGCCGCCGGCCUCGAGCUCCUCCUGCGCAGCCGCGGGGCUCGAGAAUGUCGGCCUUGAGCUCCUCCGCACCUGCUGCUCCCACAUCACGCGUGAGAAUGGCAUGGCCGCGCCGCUCUAGCUGCGCCUUCGCCAGGAGCGUUGCCCAUCACCCCAGCCGCGGCCUUGCCCCGCGUGCGGCCGGCGCGGCUGGCUGGCCAGGCCGUAGCUAGGCCUGCAAGCUGCAGCAACCACCCGCGUGUAGUCCCGGCCUUCCUCGCCCCCACUUCAGAGCGUAUGCGAGGUGCUCGAUGUUUUGCCUGACCGAACAGCCUUGCAGGAGAAGGACAAGCUGGUGACCGAGGUGAUGCGCUACGUGCUUUUCAAGAUGCAACAGACCUAUACCUAUACGGCAAAAUCUACGAAGGCAAGUGAAGGGGAUAAGAUUAUUUGAGUUGGUUUAGGAUAACUUCAUGGUCUGAUGUUACCAUGUUCCUGGUUUCUUCCUGUCACUUUUCAGGGGACAUCUGUCAUCAAUUGAAGUGGCUGGGUUUCAAGAAGAAUGAUGAGAAGCAGGCACUUCUUGUGCAGCAAAGGUUGGUUUGGUUUGUGCUGUGGAAUAUGAAAUUCAUGGCAUACACUUUCUGAAUGAGAAACUUGUUGGGCCAGAUGGCCACGUUAUGAUGUAUGAGCUUGCUAAGAGGGCAACCACCAGUGUGAAGCUUAACACUACAUUUCACUGGUACGUAUGCAUUAGCGUUUAAAAAUAAUGUUACAGAUUUUCAUCAAAGGCUUUAUCUCUAAGAUCAAGAGUGGUAUAAUGUCAUGGAAACAUCAGCCUCCAGAAACCACAAUCAUUAAUCCUAGCUAAUUAUUUGUUUAAAAAUCUAUUCAAUUUACAAAACAGAGUGCAUGUUGCUAUUCUCUUCUUACGGUGAUGCAUAACACAAUUUCUACAUCUAAAUCACACACAGUAACAAAUGAUGCGUGCGGAAAGUGCACAUGCUAUGAACUUGAGUUUCAUUAUACAAGAAUAUUAUGCUUGAUGGGAGUGGAGACCAUGUUUCUGUAUAUGCCACAGCUUGUGCUCAAUCAUGUGUAAUGGUAAAAGAAAUCGAAAAGGAAAACACAUCAUUGAUGUGAUUUCUUUAUUUUGUGCUAUCAUCACAUCAUUGAUGUGAUUUCUUUAUUUUGUGCUAUCAUCUAGCUGCAGUUUCAUCCAUCAUUUGGCCUUUUAUAAUUGCACCAAUUUUUCUCUGGUAGAUAGAUAGAUAAUUUUAACAACAAUCUUGAUUGCUAGCAUUUGUAGGUGCAUCAAAAUUCCUUAGGUAGUAAAAUAGUAGUUGUUUUGAGAAGGGUGAUCUAUAAAACAAUCACUUUUAGAAUGCUAUUCAUAACUACUUGAGUUUAUAUCUUUAAAUAAAAAAUGCAUAAUACAUGUAUACAUGCUUUAAAUCCUAUUCAUGCUCAUGUUAUUCCUGCCAGAGUAGAAUUGCAAUAUUGGAUCUGAGUACAUGCAACGUGUAAACAUUUGUUUCAGACAAUGAAAUGGUAUAGGCGAGUUAGCGAGUGUACCUGAAGUAGAUGUGCAUGGUGUUCUUGCUGCUCAGCUUCAUCCCAGAGAACAAGCUCGUGGUCAGGUUGUUCUGGUGAUUUAAACUAUUCAUAGUAUCCAUCUAGAUUCUAGAUUGGGUUCAUUAUUAGAGCAUGAAAAAACUUCCAUUGUUUCUGAAGUGUAAGAUUCAGGAAUAAGAGUUGCACAUUUGUAUUUUUCCAAAAUAUUUGCACAAUACAUUAAGUUAAUGAUGAAUUCCAAGCAUUUUCUCAAUUCGUUAGUCAUGGUGUCUGUGUUUGUAUUUGAUUUUCUAUGUCUUAUAUUUAGAUCUUAGUACUGAAAUAAGAUGUGCUAUAUUGGUAUCAUUUCAUCUGCCUAUUUUUAAAUUUUACAUGACUGUUUGGUCCUAAUUUUUUUAAAUAUAUAUGUGUUUGUAUUGUUAAAAUAUAAUAGGGUGCGCAUAGCGCGCUAAAUGUUCUAGUAUAAAAAAGGAGCAUGCAAUAUUUAUUUUCUUUUUGAAAGGAGCGUGCAGUUCCUAUUGGCCGCAGCCUUUUAGGCUUGCAGUUGCGGCGCUCCAAACGCCAGCAUCUUUUUAAGAAACCCGAUUUGGAUGUGAGGUGAAAGCAGAGAGACAUUUGUCGGCCGAAACGGUGAGGAAAAAUUCAGAGGAAUCGAAGAACAUGCGCCCUUCCUCCUGCUCCGUUAUCACGGCACCGUAGCGGCUGCCAUGGACGUGGCUCCUCUGCUCGAACAGUCUGAUCACCGGUCGUACUAAUAACACACGCAGUAACUGUGUGGAAAGAUACACAACAGUUUUCCACUUCAGCUCUGCCCAUCUGAUUGCUCUAGCCUAGCGCGGAGCUGCUCCCUGCUCUGCCCUCCUGUGCAAUGCGCAUGCGGUUUCCAAACACCAAACGUUUUCUGACUGAAAUCCAGAUACAGCCAUCUGAAUGGCAUGCCACACAAAUGAAAAGCUCCCAGAUUUCAGCUGCUAGCCUGCUGCUCUGCAAACAAACAAACAGACGAAGAGGAACUGGCUUGUGUAUCGCCUUGCCUGCCCCUUGGUCGCGACCGGCUCCAUCCCUCUUCCGCCCGCGCUGGGAGGGCGACCUGCAGCACCUGUGAAUGGGGUGAAGCUCCAAACAGCUGUUCAUCCGUUCCUCAGUCGUCUGGUAGCACCAUGGAUGACGAAUCGCUGCGGUCCGGGAAGAGGAGAAGACGGGAUUGCUUGCCACGGGCCACGGCCAAGCCGGCCAGCUCGAGCUUCAAUGGUGCGGCUACUCGCACGUCUCGAUUCGUCCGACGAACGGGGGCGCCUCUGCCAGCCUCCACUCCUUGUCUCCUUGCUGCGGGACUCAGACGGGUCGCGGAGCUGGUUUUAGGGCCUCGCCUGAUCGUGAUGGUGUCUCGCGCUUGCUGCUGGGACAGACCGUGGAAAGGGCGGCGGUAGCCGGCGGCGAAGCGGCGCGGAGCGGGAACCCCAUCCAAACCAGGGGCCUAUAUGCAAAUAUUCGGGUCGCGAUACAAAUUAGGCGGCUAUAUGUAAAACGUAAGGGUAUAAUUGUAAAUAUUUGGAUCUUAUUAUUCGCGAUCCAAAAUAGUGGGCUACUUGUAAAUGUUAGGGGUCUUUAUGUAAUUAUGCGGGGGCGUCGACGUGGGGUCGCCGGCCGCGGCCAUGCGCCCUGCUCGCUCAAAGUCUCGGUCCUCGCGCCACGGGCUUCGUGCUACCUGGCGCGCUGCCGGAAACGGCACCUAGCUGCAUGGAUGGUUCUAUGUUUCCCGAUUUCGACGGCUCAAGCUCGCUGCCGCGGGUGCGAGCACCAAGUGCUCGACGCUUUGCGCACAAGGACCACCACGUGCUCAACUUGCCUUUCCAUCUAAACAAGCGCUCUGCAGUUUGGACCCGUGAUGUUCACUGGCAGAGUUGGUAUGCUUUCAGUUGUGCUGGAGAUGUAGAGGAUUCCAGUUUUCCUUUUGUAUGACACUCGACACUACGGCCAAUAGCUGCUACUGCAGCCAGUUUUCGGCUCGGAGAAGAAGGCUUCAUUCAUCUCCUGCUGAAGCUUGUGCUGAUGCGGCGCAGCGUGACCUCGCCGGAGUUCACCCGAGGCGCGCCAUUCGCUCGCCGUCCUUUUCCGAUCCAGCAUCAAAAUCUCCGCAUGCUUACACGGGGCCGGCCUCCAUGCCGCUAGCUGGUCGGUAGAACCGCCCGACGACGACGUCGCCGGAAACCAGUGGACGCGACACACGUACAGAGCGCGCACGCCGCUUAUAUUUAUCGUCCUGCAGCAGAGAAUGUAAACUGCCACCGUUGUCCGGCGCUGCCAGCACUGACGCGCGCGCCCGGGGGGGGGGGGGGGGGGGGCGUGGUGUGUCGCGGGGGUGGCCGGGCCCAUGACGGCGACGCCGGCCGCCCGGCUCUUCCCAGCCACACGAGCGCAGGUGGCAGCGCCGGAUUGGCCAGCCGCCGCGUAUACUCGAGGCUGAGCUCAAGGCCGCCGUCGAGCCAGGUGUCACCUCCGCUGGACGCGUAUGGGCGCGGAGGAAUACGUAUGUUGCGUAGGAAAAAGGAGGUUCUUCUUCUUCUUCCAUGAAAAGGAAAUGGAAGAAAGGCGGAUUCGGUUGGGGUUCAGUACUGUGGCCUUGUGGAAAUGGCGGGCAGGCAGGCGAAUGUUCUGUAACCCUCUCCGCUUCGCUGUCAUGCUUGUCCUCGUCAGGGAGAGUGACCUGGCGAGGUCUGGCCUCCCAUCCGGAACAGGCCUAAAGGGCGCGUGCUCAUCACUUCAUCAGCUCAUGGCCAAUGCUAGGGACAAACGGCCAAUACCGGCCCUUUUAAUUAGGUCAUGUGGAUGAGUAUAUUGAGGAAGGAUCAGGGCAUCAGGCAACGAGAAGGGAACAAAAUCACACAACUCAGCAGGAUAACUCACAGAACAGAUUAAAGCUAGCAAGCUCUGUUCAUGCAAAGCGCUCUAGGCUCUAGCUAAAUGAUCCCAAUGAUCAGCCGUGAGUCCUGCGUGAGGAGUUUCUCGUGGUCCCAGUCUCCCAGAAGGGCAGGAUUAGUAAGAGAAGGAGGGCGCUUGCAUUAGGGUUGGGAUGGGAACGGUAGAGAGCAUGGCAAGCUCGCCGGAGGGAGCUGGAAGCCUCUGGAGUUUUCUCGCAGGAAGUGGGGGCGAUCGAGGAGGAGGACAGCUAAUGCCGUCACGCUCACCCAGCUUGUAGGUUGCAACUAAUCGAGCCCGCGAUAGGAAUCUCGAUCGAUCUGUAGGUCCGUAGCUGCUAGGGCCCUCGCUGUCGUCGUCGUCGUCGUCUGCCUCCGCGUGAUGCAGCGCCAUGAUUCGCUGUCGUCUGUCCCUGUUGUUAACCAUGGCCGUAUCAAUGCAAGUCUCUGAGCAUCUCCAUUGGCGGAUAAGUACUAGGCCGAUUUUCCUUCCUUUUUUUUUCUUUUUCCCAGCAGAUGAUGCUGCCGGGCUGUUUAGUUAAGCAUAUCCACGCCGUCUUCUUUUCUCAUCGGCUGAAUAAUGUCGCGUCCCAUGCCAAAUGUGCGCCACAUUUUCCAACUGGCGAUGGGCAGUUGGAAUGUGCAGCAAGCAAUCAAGAGCAUGCAUGCUUGACUUCAGUUUAGAAACUUCUGAUGAGCUUUUUAUCGUUUUAUUUUAGAGGAACAUCAAGAAGCCAGCCCCGUUUAGUUGCCUGAGGACGAUGACAGCCACGCUGACAGCGCAUGCGUCGCCGUGCGCUGGCCAUAUUCUGGGCCUUUUGUUUCUACCUGCACAGAUGCUUGUGCACUUGUGCUGCCCAUUGUUCAGUGUUUUCUUCACGCUCCAUGACGUGUUGUAACCUUACAUACAGCCUAGCCUAUGCUCAUGUACUGCCACAAAAGCUGGACCACUGAUUGCAAGCACCGGUGGUUUUGUGCUUUCAGCAUACGUCAGGCUCUUAAUUCGCUCACUAAUCCUUUUUUUCAGAAGGUACAGUACGUAAGCACGAAACCUUAUUAUAGAAUAAGGUGAAUAGCCCCUCCGGUUGAUCACUGGCCACCAGUUUGGGUUCGGCGUGACAUAAUGAUGAGGGCUUAGUCGGUUGUGGGCGGCAAAAAUUAUAAGCGAAAAAACUGUAACCAGAAAUGGAACCCUUAUCCCUCUCUAAUAAUGUAAUCAGGCGGUCGCUAAGCAAGCCAUCAUUGAGCCGACGAGCUCGUCCUCACCCCUGCACGAGCCAUAUAUACCUCGCCUCUCCCGUCCCCUCACACCACUCAACAAGGAAGCCGCAGAUAAAGCAAGUGCCGCGCCAUAGCAGCAGCCUGAGCUGAGCUCGCAGCUGGUCGGUCGGCAUGGCGAAGGACAUCGAGGCGUCGGGGCCCGAGGCGGGCGAGUUCUCGGCCAAGGACUACACGGACCCCCCGCCGGCGCCGCUCAUCGACGCGGAGGAGCUCACCAAGUGGUCGCUGUACCGCGCGGCCAUCGCCGAGUUCGUCGCCACGCUGCUCUUCCUCUACAUCACCGUGGCCACCGUCAUCGGGUACAAGCACCAGACGGACGCGACGGCGUCGGGCCCCGACGCCGCUUGCGGCGGCGUGGGCGUCCUCGGCAUCGCCUGGGCCUUCGGCGGCAUGAUCUUCAUCCUCGUAUACUGCACCGCCGGCAUCUCGGGCGGGCACAUCAACCCGGCCGUCACGUUCGGCCUCUUCCUGGCGAGGAAGGUGUCGCUGGUGCGCGCGCUGCUCUACAUCGUCGCGCAGUGCCUUGGCGCCAUCUGCGGCGUGGGGCUCGUCAAGGGCUUCCAGAGCGCCUACUUCGUGCGCUACGGCGGCGGCGCCAACGAGCUCAGCGACGGCUACUCCAAGGGCACGGGGCUCGCCGCCGAGAUCAUAGGCACCUUCGUGCUCGUCUACACCGUCUUCUCCGCCACCGACCCCAAGCGCAACGCCCGAGACUCCCACGUCCCGGUGAGUACACACACUUAAUUACUCUCCGGUGCACUCGUAGAUAUAUUCGCAGUAGUAUACGCACAGUAGAACAGUCAGUGAACUGUUAAUACAUUAGUUGGUUACUGCUAGUGCACGCAAUACCGGCCGGGUACGUAGUCGAGGUGACAGAUCACUAAAGAUUACAGUACACUGUAGAGUUUAUGCAUACGGCCAAAUAAAGGCAGAAAUGGAUGCUAGAUCCUGAACUUAGCAAGUGUUGAUAAAGGACUUUAGCUGACGUACUAGCCCUUUGGACUUAGCCUUGGAAGAACUUGAUUUGUCCACUUCGCUUGCCUCAAAAGAAAAAAAAACUCAUGCAUUAGAACUUAGUUAGUACCUAGCAAAACCUGAAUAC